CUUUUUUUUUUUUUUUUUUUUUUUUUUUUUUUUUUUUUUUUUUUUUUUUUUUUUUUUUUUUUUUUAGAGCAUCACCGAGGAAGGC
rnacentral:ribozyme from 1 species